rnacentral:rRNA from 1 species
AUUGAACGCUGGCGGCAGGCCUAACACAUGCAAGUCGAACGGUAACAGAAAGCAUCUUGCUGCUUUGCUGACGAGUGGCGGACGGGUGAGUAAUGUCUGGGAAACGUCCUGAUGGAGGGGGAUAACUACCGGAAACGGUUGCUAAUACCGCAUAGCGUCGCAAGACCAAAGAGGGUGACCUUCGGGCCUCUUGCCAUCGGAUGUGCCCAGGUGGGAUUAGCUAGUAGGUGGGGUAACGGCUCACCUAGGCGACGAUCCCUACCUGGUCUGAGAGGAUGACCAGUCACACUGGAACUGAGACACGGUCCAGACUCCUACGGGAGGCAGCAGUGGGGAAUAUUGGACAAUGGGCGCAAGCCUGAUGCAGCCAUGCCGCGUGUAUGAAGAAGGCCUUCGGGUUGUAAAGUACUUUAAGCGGGGAGGAAGGGAGUAAAGUUAAUACCUUGGCUCAUUGACGUUACCCGCAGAAGAAGCACCGGCUAACUCCGUG